rnacentral:rRNA from 1 species
GGGUGAACAUGUGGAAGGAUCAUUG